rnacentral:rRNA from 1 species
CCUACGGGAGGCAGCAGUCGGGAAUAUUGCUCAAUGGAGGAAACUCUGACGCAGUGACGCCGCGUGCAGGAAGAAGGUUUUCGGAUUGGAAACUGCUUUAGACAGGGAAGAAAAAAGACAGUACCUGUAGAAUAAGCUCCUACUAACUACGUGCCAGCAGCCGCGGUAAUACGUAGGGAACAAGCGUUAUCCGGAUUUAUUGGGUGUAAAGGGUGCGUAGACGGAGAAGCAAGUUAGUUGUGAAAUCCCUCGGCUUAACUGAGGAACUGCAACUAAAACUACUUCCCUUGAGUACUGGAGAGGAAAGUGGAAUUCCUGGUGUAGCGGUGAAAUGCGUAGAUAUUAGGAGGAACACCAGUGGCGAAGGCGGCUUUCUGGACAGUAACUGACGCUGAUGCACGAAAGCGUGGGUAUCAAACAGGAUUAGAUACCCUUGUAGUC